UCGUAGGUGAACCUGCGGAAGGAUCAUUACUGAAGAAAUGUUAGGGUUGAGCUGACUCCUUGGAGUAUGUGCUUGCCCUAUCACUCCUUCCUUCUCCUCCUGUGCACCUCUGUAGGCUACGAAAACUGUCGGUUUGGGCAACCAAGACUGGAUUGGGAACUUGCUUCGGCAUGUUCUUGUAUUCGUAGCCUAUGCUUUACAAACUCUUAUAAAACUUGAGAAUGUGUUGUUUGGUUUUAAACCAAUAAAAUACAAAACAACUUUCAGCAACGGAUCUCUUGGCUCUCGCAUCGAUGAAGAACGCAGCGAAAUGCGAUAAGUAAUGUGAAUUGCAGAAUUCAGUGAAUCAUCGAAUCUCUGAACGCACCUUGCGCCCCUUGGUAUUCCGAGGGGCACGCCUGUUUGAGUGUCAUUAAAUUUCUCAAACCUUGAAGUUGGUUUUAUUGACUUUCAAGGAUUUGGAUGUGGAAGUUGCUGGACUUUCAGUAGUUCAGCUCUUCUUAAAUGCAUUAGCGGGUCUACUGGUCCCCUUUCAUUGGUGUGAUAAUUAUCUACGCCUUCGAAAUGACCUCUCGUAGCUGCUCUCUAAUCGUCUUCGGACAAUAUAUCACAAUUUGACCUCAAAUCAGGUGGGACUACCCGCUGAACUUAAGCAUAUCAAUAAGCGGAGGA
rnacentral:rRNA from 1 species